UACGAAGGUGGCAAGCGUUGUUCGGAUUUACUGGGCGUACAGGGAGCGUAGGCGGUUGGAUAAGCCCUCCGUGAAAUCUCCAGGCUUAACCUGGAAAGUGCAGAGGGGACUGUUCAGCUAGAGGAUGGGAGAGGAGCGCGGAAUUCCCGGUGUAGCGGUGAAAUGCGUAGAGAUCGGGAGGAACGCCGGUGGCGAAAGCGCUCGACUGGACCUUUUCUGACGCUGAGGCGCGAAAGCUAGGGGAGCAAACGGG
rnacentral:rRNA from 1 species